AAGGAGGAAAUAGCCAGUAAGUAAAGAGGCAAGAAAAAAUGUCUCCCCGUGGUUCAAAAGCCAACUAAAGUUUACCAAGAGCUGUGACCUGUGGUUAAAAUGUCCUCAGAGGCCAGCUCUCAUCUGAUUUCAACCUGAAGCCCCAUUUCCUAUCAAGAGAGCCAUUUGGCUCCUCUCUUAAGCUCAGCAGCCCUGAGGUGUGGUAGCCUCACGCUGACCCAUACAGAAUGCAACAGAACUGUCCCUGCUGCAGAAGUCUCAGGGUUCUGCCCCAACUGCAUAGACUUCUUUCAUGGAACCGGCUCCUCUAUCCCCACAAGGCUUCUCCCCAGCACAGCUUCUACCUAGAAUCAGACGGAGAGCUUUAGACCAGAGAGAAAACGGAGGCGUGGUGACACCAAGUGACAUGCUCCAAGCCGCUGAACAUGUUGGUGGCAGAGCUAGAACUCGACACCAAGUCUCCUGGCUUUAGUCCACUGUGGCUCUCAAUCCUCGCACACGCAGAGCACAGACCGUUUUUGGUACACGAGGCUUACCCUGGGAACUGCCCUCCCUCUGUGGCUUGGCGAGGGGGGUCGGGGGAAAGGGUAGGGAGGAUGUGAGGGGUGGGGAGCAGUGCUCUCUCUGCCUGUUUCAGGAAGGCUCUCUGGUUUGGUGAGAGCCCACACUUUGUUAAGUGAGAUAAGGGACACUACAAGAAAAGGAGGGGGUGGGUGGGCAGAGGACAUCACGCUGCUUAUUUUGAACCUGGGAAAACUGUGCCUUAGGAGAGGGAAGUCCUGCAUAUUUCAUGCUGUGACUUCUUGCUUCCAAACUGCGUAUGCUGGCCUCCUUUUCACCCAGAUGGUGCUGCAGGGAACAAGGCCCCACCAGUGUGUGCUCUUCCUGUGUGUCCAAAUUUCCACCAAAGAGGGCUCCUCCCAGGAGAUUGGCUGCCGAACCUGUUCUUCCACGGCAGAAGCGGCGCAGCUAGCCCAGCACGACUCUGCUUAUUGUUACGCUUCUGCCACAUGUGUGUAAAUUUGUAAGGAACUUGCCGCUCCUGGCUGAAGACCCAGGGAGCUUUUGCGCUGUUAAUCUGUUUUCCUUUUUGCCCUCAGCCUUUGCUCUUCAGGGGAGAGGCCGUCGAUAAGGUCCAAUGGGGUGGGGUGACACCUCUUGGGCUCAGAAUCUCAAGGGUCCCAAGGUCCAGUCAGUGAGAGCCUUCUGUCUACAUGCCACCCUGUCCCCUCUGUGUGGAGCCCUCAGCAGGACCCUGGCCACAGGGCUCUGGAGCAAUAAUAUUACCCCAUGACAACUGUCGUGACUGCUACCUCAAAAAGUAAGACAGUCCUGCCAUCUACGUUCAUGGAGCUCCGAGGAGCAGCUCAGUUCUGUUUGUUGUGACAGGAUUUUAUAGCAAAAUUUGCAUGAAAGACAUGAAGCUCAGCAAUUGGUUUGCGACAGAGGCGUUUUCUUGCCAAAUGAGGAAGUGAGAUGAUCAGAACUGGCUUUAGCAUGAGCCUGGAUUGGGGAACUCAGCUGGUUCUGGGCUCAUACAACUUCACCUAUUUUUGCUCUCUAGCCUCUGCCUUUGCUGACAAUGUCAGCCUCUGCUUUGAAAGCCCUUCCCUCUCUGGGCUGCUUCCAUUAGUCCUUCAGCUUCCGAAUCUUAUGGCUCUCACCAUCCCUUUCCUUGUGUUUCUGUUAUUCAUAUCCCAAAGCCCUUCCAAAUAGUGAUAUUCUCCAGGGCAAGGAUCCUCUCCAAUUUAUUAUCAUAUCCCUGGAUCCUCCUAUGACCUUUGGCAUAGCUGUUGGAGGAGUGAGCAGAUGAGUGAGUAAGUAACUGAUCUUCUCCUCACCCAUCCUCAGAGGAAGACCACGGGACAGGUGUGAGUGGUGCCUCCCAAAGAUACUCCAAAUACCAACCCCUAGCACCUGUGGAUGUGACUUUAUUUGGAAAUUGGGUCUUGGCAGAUGUCAUUAAGUUAAAGAUCUUGAGAUGAGAUCAUCCUGAAUUUAGAGUGGGCCUUAAAUCCUGAUAAAGAGACAGAAAAAGAGAAGACACAGAGACAUACACAGGAGAGAGCCAUGUGAAGCCAGAGGCAGAGAUUGGAAAGAUUUAUCUAUAAGAAAAGCCAAGAACUGCCAGAAGCUAGGAGAGAGGCAUGGGAUAAAUUUUCCCAUUCCUCACACCAUUCACAAAAAUUAACUUAAAAUGGAUCAAAGACUCAAAUGUAAAGCUAAAAUUAUGAAAACCCCUAAAAGAAAAGAUGGGAUAAAUCUUAAUGACCUAGCAUUAGGCAAUGGUUUCUUAGAUAUGACUCCAAAAGCAUGAGCAACAAAAGAAAAAAUAGUUAAGUUGGAUUUCAUUGAUACUAAAAAUAUUUGUAUUUCUAAGAACACCACCAAGAAAGUAUAAAAGACAGCCAAAAGAAUGGGAGAAAAAUUUUGCAAACCAUAUAUCUGAUAAGGGGUUUGUAUCUAGAAUAUAUAAAUAACUCUUAAAACUC
rnacentral:lncRNA from 1 species